rnacentral:rRNA from 1 species
UACAGAGGUCUCAAGCGUUGUUCGGAUUCAUUGGGCGUAAAGGGUGCGUAGGUUGUAGGAUAAGUUGGAUGUGAAAUCCCGGGGCUUAACCCCGGAACUGCAUUCAAUACUGUUUUACUAGAGUACUGGAGAGGAGAUUGGAAUUCACGGUGUAGCAGUGAAAUGCGUAGAUAUCGUGAGGAAGACCAGUGGCGAAGGCGAAUCUCUGGACAGUUACUGACACUGAGGCACGAAGGCCAGGGGAGCAAACGGG